rnacentral:lncRNA from 1 species
GAGUCUGGUAAUGGAAGGCCUCCACUCGCCCCAAUCAGAGAUUCUCAAUCAGAGCCAUUGUUGUCAAAAGAACAUUGAAGUCUGCUUUGUAAUGUAAAAAUGUGUAGUUAGCCAUUCUUUCAAAUAGUUUUGCAAUGAAUAGGUGAAAUGCAGUGUAAUCAAGCUAAUGUUAAACAAUAAUAAUGUUUUUGUAAAAAGAAAGUGUAAUAUUUGCUUGGCAAGUUGUAAAAUAUACUAAAUGAAAUUUUGUGAAUGAAUUUAUAUUGUGUAUUUUAUGUUCUGGUAUGCAACUCUUCUUUCCAUUGUGUUUGACCUACUUAAAAAUCAAUUUGGUUUGGCCAAAAAGUUAGUGACAGGUUUAAUGGGGCACUCUGGCCACCUCCAGCAUACCCUGGUUUCAUGCCAUUGAUUUGUGGUUCUUAAGAGUAGAGAUUUGUCUAAUAUAAAAAAUGUAUUAGGCUAUUAGCAGUGGUAUGCUAAUGACUUGCAUCAAAAUUUGGUUAAAGAUAUCAGAUUUGCUAAUCACUUUGGCUAAUUUUUUGAUAAGUCUGACUCAACUUUACAAAACUGAUUUAUAAGGUGAGGAUUGCUCCAACAUAACACACCCUCUUAUGCUCAACACUUAUGGGUUUGGUGCGUGGAUAUAAAUGGUGGCUAUAAGCAUAUAGUAGAGAUAUGAAUGUGACCAAACUUUAGAAGAACCACUAUUAUUAAUGUCCAACACAAUGCACCUCAGUAACAAUAUAUUUUAAAAUACCACCAUAGCAACAUUUCCAUAUUAAUCCAUAUAUGAGAUAAUUGUUCACAGGACAUUAUGAAUACGCACAACUUACACCAUAAAACCGUACCAAACUCAAAGAAGUGAACUUGUGCAGAGGUAAAUAACACCCAUCCAACCAGUACAGAGGAAGAUUACACUAACUUGAAUUCACCCUUAAAAUCAAUUCAUUGAUGCACAACACAAUGAGAAUGAAGUUCAAGUUCUCAAGAGCUUCCUUCUUAUCCACAUUCCCUUUGUGCAGGGCAAAUUUGAUGACACUAAAGAUUGCAAACAGCUUCCAAAAAUAACAACAUCCAUAAUUAAACAGUACAGAAAGCAUACAUGCAAAUCCGAAAACAUGUGCAUUUGAAGGAAGCUCUGUGGUGCAAGGAGGUUGUAAGUGGAACAUUGGGACGGGAGAGAAAAUACAAGCCCGGGAGCAAAAUUGGCUCCGGCCUCCAGGAGGCAUGUUCCCAUCCAAACCAGAUGAUGUACAACCUGCUGUUGCUGCUAUAAGAGUGCAGGACCUACCUACUGCAGCACAAUUUAAAAUCUUGAAAGAGAAAUCUUAUUUCUGGCAUGUUUGACAGAGGCACUACAGCAAAACAUUCUGCAGACCCCGCUGCUGCAUUCUGUACACAAAGAUAUGCUUAUGUGGUGGCUAGAAUACUCGGUGAGCAGCGCAUAUAAAUUGUGCAUUAAUCGUUCAGGUAUUCGGGAAAGGCACAACAUUACAGGCAGCUGGAACCUGAUCUGGUGCGCAAAAAUUCCACCUAAAGUGAAAAAUCUUCUGUGGCGGAUUGGUUGUAAUGUUUUUACCAAUGUGUGUGAAUUGUG